AUUGAACGCUAGCGGGAUGCUUUACACAUGCAAGUCGAGCGGAGUGGCGGACGGGUGAGUAAUAUAUCGGAACGUGCCCAGUAGCGGGGGAUAACUACUCGAAAGAGUGGCUAAUACCGCAUACUAUUAGAGCGGCCGAUAUCGUAUUAGCUAGUUGGUGGGGUAAAGGCUCACCACGGCAACGAUCCGUAGCUGGUCUGAGAGGAUGACCAGCAACACUGGGACGGAGACACGGCCCAGACUCCUACGGGAGGCAGCAGUGGGGAAUUUUGGACAAUGGGCGAAACCCUGAUGCAGCCAUCCCGCGUGUAUGAUGAAGGCCUUCGGGUUGUAAAGUACUUUUGGCGGAGAAGCGGUAUCUGCAGAAUAAGCACCGGCUAACUACGUGCCAGCAGCCGCGGUAAUAC
rnacentral:rRNA from 1 species